AGAGUUUGAUCCUGGCUCAGGAUUAACGCUGGCGGUGUGUAUAAUACAUGCAAGUCGAGCGCCCAGGACUUUGUUUAUAAUACUUAUAUUAUAGAUAAGGUCCUGGGAGCGGCGGACGGGUGAGUAACACGUUGGUAACUACUCCAGAAUCAGGGAUAAGCUCUAGAAAUAGGGUCUAAUACCGGAUGGUCCCGAAAGGG
rnacentral:rRNA from 1 species